GGGAGUCUCUUCAGAUGGAGGGGUGGACUGGGGGACCUUCCACAGAAGCAAACAACAAACAAAAUCCAGCUGAAGCCUGAGAGGAAUGCUGAUCCGCUGAAGCCAAAUGCCUCCUUCUUCCCCCCUUCCUCCUCCUCCUCCUCCUCCUCCUCCUCCUCCUCCUGCGAUGCAUGUAUGAGGCAUCACCGAAGAUUGUUACAUUUUUCAGAUCACACUCAGAAAUGACCGAAGCUUGACCUGGACGGGAGAACAAUGAAGCUGCACUUAUUCUACACCGGCUGUUAUUCACUUGACACAUAAUGAUACUCAGUUGUAGUCAAGAGAUUUAGAUUAAAAAAAAAAACAACAAAAAGAAGAAAAAUCACUAAAUGUCUGAUGAGCCAAGAAAAA